GGGGCGUUAGCUCAGUUGGUAGAGCAGCGGACUUUUAAUCCGUUGGUCGGCGGUUCGAAUCCGCCACGCCCUACCA
rnacentral:tRNA from 1 species